CACGUAGGGACCAAGCGUUGUCCGGAUUCAUUGGGCGUAAAGAGCUCGUAGGCGGUUCGAUAAGUCGGGUGUGAAACCUCCAGGCUCAACCUGGAGACGCCACCCGAUACUGUCGUGACUAGAGUUCAGUAGGGGAGCGUGGAAUUCCUGGUGUAGCGGUGAAAUGCGCAGAUAUCAGGAGGAACACCAGCGGCGAAGGCGGCGCUCUGGGCUGGAACUGACGCUGAGGAGCGAAAGCGUGGGGAGCGAACAGG
rnacentral:rRNA from 1 species